GACGAACGCUGGCGGCGUGCUUAACACAUGCAAGUCGAACGGAAAGGCCCUGCUUUUGUGGGGUGCUCGAGUGGCGAACGGGUGAGUAACACGUGAGUAACCUGCCCUUGACUUUGGGAUAACUUCAGGAAACUGGGGCUAAUACCGGAUAGGAGCUCCUGCUGCAUGGUGGGGGUUGGAAAGUUUCGGCGGUUGGGGAUGGACUCGCGGCUUAUCAGCUUGUUGGUGGGGUAGUGGCUUACCAAGGCUUUGACGGGUAGCCGGCCGGGGGGGGAGGCCGGCCAAAUGGGGACGAGAGGACGGCCCGGACCCCUACGGGAGGGAGGAGGGGGGAAUGUUGCACAAGGGGCGGAAGCCGGAUGCAGCAACGCCGGGUGGGGGAUGGCGGCCUUCGGGUGGGAAACAGCUUUCCCCUGUGAAGAAGGGUGAGGAACGGAAAUGGGGAAAAAAGCACCGCCAAACUAGUG
rnacentral:rRNA from 1 species